GUCUUGGAAGAAAAGGGA
rnacentral:snRNA from 1 species